AGAGUUUGAUCCUGGCUCAGGAUCAACGCUGGCGGCGUGCCUAAUGCAUGCAAGUCGCACGGCGGUCCUUCGGGAUUGCAGUGGCGAACGGCUGAGGAACACGUACGAACCUACCCGCUCGUGGGGAAUAACGCGCCGAAAGGSGUGCUAAUACCGCGUACGCUUGGGCAACCAAGGAAAGCCUUCGGGCGCGGGCGGUGGGGCGUGCGGCCCAUCAGGUAGUUGGCGGGGUAAUGGCCCACCAAGCCGGUGACGGGUCGCUGGUCUGUGAGGAUGACCCGCCAGACUGGGACGGAGGAACGGCCCAGACACCUACGGGUGGCAGCAGUUGGGAAUUUUGCGCAAUGCUCGAAAGAGUGACGCAGCAACGCCGCGUGGAGGACGACGCCUCAUGGGGUGUAAACUCCUUUUGUCAGGGACGAUAAUGACGGUACCUGGCGAACAAGCCUCGGCUAACUACGUGCCAGCAGCCGCGGUAAUACGUAGGAGGCGAGCGUUGUCCGGAUUUACUGGGCGUAAAGGGUCUGUAGGCGGUCUGGUAAGCGUGCCGUGAAAGCUCCCGGCUCAACUGGGAGAGGUCGGUGCGAACUGCUAGACUGGAGGGUCGGCGAGGCAGACGGAAUUCCUGGUGGAGCGGUAACAUGCGUAGAGAUCAGGAGGAACACCGGUGGCGAAAGCGGUCUGCUGGACGACACCUGACGCUGAGGGACGAAAGCGUGGGGAGCGAACAGAAUUAGAUACCCCCGUAGUCC
rnacentral:rRNA from 1 species